rnacentral:piRNA from 1 species
UUUUACACACAAUUGGUUUUC